AAUUAAAGACACCUUACUGCAUUUGUCCAUGCGAUUCAUAUUGCCAUGCAUUAUAUUCCAUGUUGGUUAUAUUCUAUCCCUCUCCUUAUGACACACAUUUAUAUGAAACGUAUUUGAGUACUGAAAUCAAGUGGAUCCAUUUAGAAAUAUAGGUUUAUUGAGGUAGCCUAGUGCACGCGGUUUUCAUCGCUGCAGAGCAAAGGCGGAUGUAGGGGGUUUUGGUGGGCUUGAGCCUUACCAUAGGUAAUUUUAGUCUAGCCAAAAAAAAAAAUAACAAAUAAAUAAUAGUACUAAUAAACCCCAAAAUAUAUUAGCGCACUCCACAAUAUAUUAUCCGCCCUUGCUGCAGAGUCUAGAGAGCAUCAGAUGCGGGCAGACUUACUUACAUAAGUAAGGAGAGACUAUUUUCAAUUUCAAUCUAUAAUCUUUAGUUCCAAAAUGAAGCAGCCUUCUAAGGGACCAUUUAAUUUUUUUUAUUUUAUUAAGUAGCCUAAUUCUAUUUGGGUGUUAAUAAAAACUGCAAUUUUGAAAGUCCAUUCGGUUGUAUCUGUAUUUAAUUCUUCCUAUGUGUAAGACCACAAAUGUGACCGUAUGCACUCAAAAGGAUAGGGUAAAAAUCCCAGGCUAAAUUUUACAAAAGAAAAAGUCAUCACGAGAACGUCUCUCAAGUCUCAACCAUAGGACAGACAAAAAGGUUUUUCCGAAACUUCCCAUGAUUCAUCAUCUCUUACAUAUCCCUUUUUUUUUUUUUUUUUUUUUUUUCUUCUUCUUCUCCUUUAUUUUAUUAUUUUUUCUUUUUGAAUUCGAAACUCUCCUGGACAGGUAAGAUCAUUUGGAUCCACCUCAAUCUAUAAACUACGAGAGUGUUACAACUAACCCUAUAACGACAAUAUCAUUAAAUCAAGAAUUAUAAUAGAAGUGUUGAAAUACGAAAUCAAAAUAUAUUAAAACCCAACCUCUUAUCUCAUCACCAUCGCCCUCACCAUCACCAAUCUCUUGAGUCCUUUUUUUUUUUUUUUUUCUUGAAGUUAUCCCAGUUGGCCGGGGUGGAAGUGCUCUCUCUUUCUCUGACACACACAUUGAUGUGACAAAUCUUCUUUGGGGUGGUUAUAGUUGUGAGGGUGUGAUCCGCCUGAAAGUGUGAUGUCCUAAUAAAUGCCACCAAUCCAUGCAUGCCUCUCCUUCAACUGUUCACGACAAGGCAUUUGCCAAAGUCCAUCUUGACGGUGCCAUGUACAUCAGCUUUUAUAUCCUUUGUCUACCAUCAUAAUGACAUUCCCGCAAUAGAAGUAGGGGAUAAAACUUUUUAAAGAAACAUUAUUGCAUUGUCCCUUUUAAAAAUUAUUGUAUAUUUUUUUAAAAAAUUAAAAAAAUAUUUUUUAAGUUUAAAUAUAUAUAUAAUUAAGUUUAAAUUUUUUUAAAAUUUUUAAAAAUAUUUUAUAAAAAAAUGUGAAAUAUGUUAUUUAAAUUUAAUAAGUGGACAAGUAUUUUAAGAUAAUAAAAAAAAAAAAGAUGAAUAAUUAUUAUGGAACGAAAAGUGUAAUUUAUAUAUAUAUAUAUUUGCAACAGUUGUGUUGAUGUUAUUAUUUGCAACAAGUGUGUUGAAGUCAAACCAUCUAUAAAUUCAAUGAAAAACAUAUACAUAUCUAUUAUCUAAGGAGAAAGAGACUAUUACCACCUACCAUAGUAAUUCAGUGACUUCUCUUUUAUCUAAAAUAUUAAAGGUUCAAAUUUUCUUAAGAAUAUAAAAUGAAGUUGCUAUUGAAACGUUUCUAAUUUUAAUCAGUGCAUUCUCAUAUAAGAAAAUUUAGAAUUAGUAAUUUUAAUUUUGUGAUCCAGAACUAUUCCCAUCACAAUUAGUUCAGUUAAAUCAGGUGUCUCACAUAGUUGUUGGCUCCAACCCCAGCUAAUUGGUCCGCAAUUAUGUAGUUGGUCAGAAACAGAAACAUAAUUCAUUGUACUGCCAAUACAACCAAAAUGACCAAUCAUUAUUCAUUUUACAAUAAAUACCAACCAUUCACAAUCGUCCUUACCCACCCUAAAAAAAAAAUAAAAGUAAUAAGAAAGAAAAUAAUAAUAAUAAUAAACUAUCCACAAUGGUACCUUAAUGUUGAAUAGCUCUAUAUGACCGCAUUAGUAGGUCUACCGUCCUCUAUAAUUAAUAACAAUAUUAAUUAGUAUCUGUUCGACAACAUUGUCCUUGAAUGUCACUCUUUCAUUAUUUUACUGUCUGUUUGGCAAAAGAAUGAGCAGAGGGAAGGAUGGAAACAGAAUGAAAGGAAGAAGAAUUUAAUGGGGGAGCUUUUAUUUGUUUGAUUGGAGGGAUUAGAGAAAGGAACGGAAGAGAAAAACCCCAAAACAGUGAGGUCGGGCCUCGACGCAACAGUAAGAUUAUUUCAUUGUAAUUUGGUGGUCACAUAUCUAAACAAAAAAUAAUCUCUUGACAUACUAAGUGUCAUGGGAGAGUUUCGUACAUUGAGCUAGCGUUAUUUUUUAUUAAAUUUUUAAAAAAUUGUUUUUAUCCGGUGAUUAAAUAAAGAGAACUUCUUGUCCCGAGUUCAA